rnacentral:rRNA from 1 species
CGGCCCAGACUCCUACGGGAGGCAGCAGUGGGGAAUUUUGGACAAUGGGCGCAAGCCUGAUCCAGCCAUGCCGCGUGUGUGAAGAAGGCUCUAGGGUUGUAAAGCACUUUCAGUAGGGAGGAAGGCCAGAGUGUUAAUAGCGCUUUGGAUUGACGUUACCUACAGAAGCAGCACCGGCUAACUCCGUGCCAGCAGCCGCGGUAAUACGGAGGGUGCAAGCGUUAAUCGGAAUUACUGGGCGUAAAGCGCACGCAGGCGGUUUGUUAAGCUAGAUGUGAAAGCCCCGGGCUCAACCUGGGAACU